rnacentral:rRNA from 1 species
CGUCGCCGCGGUAAUACGUAGGGUGCGAGCGUUAAUCGGAAUUACUGGGCGUAAAGCGUGCGCAGGCGGUUCGUUAAGACAGAUGUGAAAUCCCCGGGCUUAACCUGGGAAUUGCAUUUGUGACUGGCGAGCUAGAGUAUGGCAGAGGGGGGUAGAAUUCCACGUGUAGCAGUGAAAUGCGUAGAGAUGUGGAGGAAUACCGAUGGCGAAGGCAGCCCCCUGGGCCAAUACUGACGCUCAUGCACGAAAGCGUGGGGAGCAAACAGGAUUAGAUACCCGGGUAGUCCCUGUCUCUUAUACA